rnacentral:lncRNA from 1 species
UUUGGCAGUUGGGAGCUUCGGCAAGUGUCUGGCACCUCAGAAGUGUGUCUUCCUUCGACAGGGGAGAAGGCGUGGCUGCCUUAGUGCUAGUCGCUUUGAUGCUGGGUCUGCUCGGUUCACUAUGGUGUAAACAGUAGUCCCCCAAGUUCGCGGUUGAGAAGUAACUUCUGGGUUGGGAACUUGUGAGUUUUUGUAAUUGUAACCGAGCAUUCCAGCUUCAUUGAGAGCCGUAGGGCACUCCCUAGUCCCCCAAGUUGGCAAGCUAGGAGUUGCAUCAUCGAGCC